GUCAGGAUGGCCGAGGGGUCUAAGGCGCUACGUUCAGGUUGCAGUCUCCUCUGGAGACGUGGGUUCGAAUCCCACUUCUGACA